rnacentral:ncRNA from 2 species
CAGUGUUCUCAGGGCGGGGUGCAAUUCCCCACCGGCGGUAUCCGGCUUUGCCGGGAGCCCGCGAGCGCUUCCAUUUCGGUGGAAGGCAGCAGAUCCGGUGCGAUGCCGGAGCCGACGGUCAUAGUCCGGAUGAAAGAGAACAACG